rnacentral:rRNA from 1 species
AGCGGCGGACGGGUGAGUAACGCGUGGGAAUAUGCCCUUCUCUAAGGAAUAGCCUCGGGAAACUGAGAGUAAUACCUUAUACGCCCUUCGGGGGAAAGAUUUAUCGGAGAAGGAUUAGCCCGCGUUAGAUUAGGUAGUUGGUGGGGUAAUGGCCUACCAAGCCUACGAUCUAUAGCUGGUUUGAGAGGAUGAUCAGCCACACUGGGACUGAGACACGGCCCAGACUCCUACGGGAGGCAGCAGUAGGGAAUCUUAGACAAUGGGGGAAACCCUGAUCUAGCCAUGCCGCGUGUGUGAUGAAGGCCUUAGGGUCGUAAAGCACUUUCGCCAGAGAUGAUAAUGACAGUAUCUGGUAAAGAAACCCCGGCUAACUCCGUGCCAGCAGCCGCGGUAAUACGGAGGGUC